rnacentral:rRNA from 1 species
GAGUCUGAACCAGCCAUGCCGCGUGGAGGAUGAAGGUCCUCUGGAUUGUAAACUUCUUUUAUUUGGGAAGAAACUCUAGAUUUCCAUCGGUAUUGACGGUACCAGAUGAAUAAGCACCGGCUAACUCCGUGCCAGCAGCCGCGGUAAUACGGAGGGUGCAAGCGUUAUCCGGAUUCACUGGGUUUAAAGGGUGCGUAGGUGGGCAGGUAAGUCAGUGGUGAAAUCUCCGGGCUUAACCCGGAAACUGCCAUUGAUACUAUCUGUCUUGAAUACCCUGGAGGUGAGCGGAAUAUGUCAUGUAGCGGUGAAAUGCUUAGAUAUGACAUAGAACACCCAUUGCGAAGGCAGCUCACUACGGGAAUAUUGACGCUGAGGCACGAAAGCGUGGGGAUCAAACAGGAUUAGAUACCCUGGUAGUCCACGCCCUAAACUAUGAUCACUCGACAUCAGCGAUACACUGUUGGUGUCUGAGCGAAAGCAUUAAGUGAUCCCCCUGGGAAGUACGAUCGCAAGAUUGAAACU